UCUCUGUCUUGCUUUGUUUUUCUCUCUCUCUAUUCCUCUCCCUCCGUCCCCCUCACUCUCUUUCUCUGUCUCCUUCUGUCCCUCCCUCACUGAUUCUCUCUCAUUCCCUGUCCUGUCUGCCCAUUUUUGUCUAUCUGAUUCUCUCUUUCUCUCUCUCCCCUGUCUCUCUUUCUGUCUGCCUGUCUCCCCUCUCUGUCUCUCUCACUGUCCCUCUGUCUGUCUGUCUCCCUCCUCUCCCUCUCUAUCUGUCUCUCCCUCCCUCUCUCCAUCCCCCCUUCCUCCCUCCCGCCUCCCUCUCUCAAUAUUUCCCUCCUGAAGAUUUGCUUUCUCAGUGCAGAUAAACUCCUGCAGUGCCUUUCAUUUUCACCUCUUCAUGAAGCACAUUAAAGCUUCUGAGUUAGGAGGGUGACUGAGGGCAGGAAGAGUGUACGGGGUAGGUGGGUAGAUAAGUAGAUAACAUGAAACUUCUAGGAACAAGCUAAUGGUGGAGAAAAAUGACGUCAGGAGGGAGCGUCUCAUGAGAGGAGGUGUAACAAAUUGACGGGACAUCCUGUGUGGAUCAGAAGCCAGAGCACCUAAAGGAAACCUUCGGGGUUUUAUUUCGAGUUACAGCACGGAACAGGCCCUUCCAGCUCAGCAGCCCUCCUUCUUAACCCUGGCCUAGUCACAGGACAAUUUACAAUGACCAAGUGACCUACUACUAACUGGUAUAUCUUUGGACUGUGGGAGGAAACCAGAGCACCCGGAGGAAACCCACAUGGACACUUGAAGAAUGUACAAACUUUCUUACAAAGGACGCUGGGAUUGAGCUGUGAACUCUGACCUCACCCCCCCCCGAGUUGUAAUGGUGUCGUGAUAACCACUACACUACCAUGGCACAGCAUUAUACUUGUGGAGAUACAGUACUGAGCACUGUACUACAGCAAGGAGACAGACCCUGCAGUGGUCCUGAUACUAGAGCUGGCUCUAAACCCCCCCAUCCAAUCACCAGCUCCGCAGGGGCCUUUUGUUUAAGUGGAAGCACCUUUGAAUCAGCUUGCCAUGUUCGGCUUAUCUUGGU